rnacentral:rRNA from 1 species
CAUCCAGUAGAACUUAGCAGAGAUGCUUUGGUGCCUUCGGGAACUCUGAGACAGGUGCUGCAUGGCUGUCGUCAGCUCGUGUUGUGAAAUGUUGGGUUAAGUCCCGNAACGAGCGCAACCCUUAUCCUUUGUUGCCAGCGGUUCGGCCGGGAACUCAAAGGAGACUGCCGGUGAUAAACCGGAGGAAGGUGGGGAUGACGUCAAGUCAUCAUGGCCCUUACGGCCAGGGCUACACACGUGCUACAAUGGCGCAUACAAAGAGAAGCGACCUCGCGAGAGCAAGCGGACCUCAUAAAGUGCGUCGUAGUCCGGAUUGGAGUCUGCAACUCGACUCCAUGAAGUCGGAAUCGCUAGUAAUCGUAGAUCAGAAUGCUACGGUGAAUACGUUCCCGGGCCUUGUACACACCGCCCGUCACACCAUGGGAGUGGGUUGCAAAAGAAGUAGGUAGCUUAACCUUCGGGAGGGCGCUUACCACUUUGUGAUUCAUGACUGGGGUGAAGUCGUAACAAGGUAAGCGUAGCGAG